UCCUCAGACUAUUUUUCUUUCUCAUUUCUUUGUCCCACAGUUUUUUUCCAUUUUGUCUAAAAACUCUUCAUCCUUAACAAUAAACUAGAAAAUAAAAAUCUUUUCUUCAUUUAUUUGACCUUCUUCUUUAGCUGAUUGACCACCCUGCAUGAACACACACACAACUGCUACUUGCUGGGGGCAGGAAGACAACCAUACCACUAUCCCAGAAGUCAUAUGAAUAGUGCUCUUAAUUUUUGCACUCCUGACACAGAAUGUCCAGGUUCCAGUUAAAUCAUCUGGUUGCCACCCAGUUCACUGUCCCUGGGCUCCAGCUGUUAAGUGAAGGCUUUCAUCACAUGAUAUUUUAGCCACCAAAGAGAAGAAAAAGAUCUGCGAGUGAUCAAGAUCUCCAGUAGCAGAAAGAAUGCAAGAUUCUGAUUCAGUAACUUAUUAUAGCCCCACAUUGAGGUAGUCCAGUUGAUAGAGUGCUGGACCUGGAGUCUAGAAGACCUGAAUUCAAAUUUCAUACAAUUUACUUAGUUGGGUGAUACCAGGCAAGUGAUUUAAUCUUUCUGACUUCCUCAGUGUACAUAUCCAUGAAAUGGGGAUGAUAAUAUUGUCUGC